rnacentral:rRNA from 1 species
GUCCACGCAGUAAACGAUGCCGACUGGGCGUGGGGGGAGUUGACCCCCUCCGUGCCGGAGCUAACGCGGGAAGUCGGCCGCCUGGGGAGUACGGCCGCAAGGCUAAAACUCAAAGGAAUUGACGGGGGCCCGCACAAGCGGCGGAGCGUGCGGUUUAAUUCGACGCGACGCGCAGAACCUUACCAGGGCUUGACAUGCGCCUGCAGAGCGGGGAAACCCGUUGGCCUUCGAGGGUGGCGCACAGGUGCUGCAUGGCUGUCGU